UGUGGAAGCAGAGGUGAAGAAACUAUAAUUGAACUGGAUUUGCAUGGAGCAUUGUGAUUUUCAUUUCUGUCAAGUUUUUGCUUGAGAAAAACUUACACUCAAACUUAUAUGGAGAUGCUUUAUUUACCUAGCAGAGAAGCCCUAAGAAAAGUAAUAUUGUUAAACCUUCUUACUUCUGGCAUUCUGAUGUAUCCUCAACCAAAAUUAGAAAGUUAUAUGAUUAUCCUUUUUUCCUUGUUAAAUCUUUGUCAACGUUGAUGAACUCAAUUAAUCGAUAUCAAUGUAACUCAUCCAUGGUUGAACAUAUGAUUGAGCAUGAUUUCACAUUUCAGCUCCACCUCAUUAAAAUUCAUUGUUUGGCAAUGAUGCCCUUUUCUCAAUCAAAACUUCCUAUUUCUGCUUCUGAGCUUGUUCGUCUGCAAUGCAACUAUCAUCAGUUUAUUGUUUUGUUGUUCAAGCAGCGUUCGUUUGAUCGAAGUGGAAGAAGUUUCUUGCAGCGGCAGCAUAUAUGUUCAAUCUGAUGGGGAACACUUGGGGUUUCUCCAAGGAAAUUCCAUAUUCUACCAGCUGCCAUUGAAAUGAUAUGCUGAACAUGAGCUCCCUUUUGCGGAGAGAGAAAAACAAUAAGCAAAAGUUUCGUAGCCGUAGGACCCUUUUUUUCUAACGUGGACUCCUCUCUCAAAUUAGAGUAGACAAAGUGCUGUUUAUGGUAUGAGGCCAUUAGAUUUAAGGUGUUAGGACUAUUGAAAAUUAGAUAUAUUGGAUAAAAGACAACACUUGGAAGUACUGCCAUAUUUGGCCUUUUCUUAGGGGCUGGGAGUUUGAUACAUUGUGGAAAGUCAUAUUAAAUCACAAGGUCCUGUAUUACAAGUUAUGUUUAUGUGAUUAUUACCUUAAUCUUACUUUUAGCCAGCAAACAAGAACAUUUAUUGAAGUCGUGGAUCAUUGAUGCACAACUAGGUUCGACAUUA